rnacentral:rRNA from 1 species
AAACUAAUUUAAUUUGCCGGCAUCUUAUCUUAUUAGAGGAAUUUGUUAUUUAAUCGAUAAUCCCCGAUAAAUUUCACUUUAAUUUAAAAAUUUAUAUACCGCCAUCUCAAGAGUUAAAAUUAAAUUAUCCUCUAAAAAAUAAAUAAAAAGUUAGGUCAAGGUAUAGUUUAUAUUAAAGAAUAAAAUGAAUUACAUUAAAUAAAAUUUAAAGAUUUUAAAUACAUAAAUUUAUAUAAAUAAGGAUUUAAAAGUAAUAUUAAAAAUAAUAAUAUAAUAUGACAAAAACAAUAAAUGUGCACACAUCGCCC